rnacentral:rRNA from 1 species
CACAAGAUGAGAUUUCUUUAAAGGGUCGUUGGAGAUGACAACGUUGAUAGGCUAUAGGUGCAAGUGCAGUAAUGCAGGUAGCCGAGUAGUACUAAUUACCCGUAAGCUUAUGUA